ACAUUCUCAUCAAUGUAGCCUUUAUACACUGUCCCAAAUCCACCUUCGCCAAGGAUGUAAUCCGAGCGGAAGCUCUUAGUUAUAGUUUCCAGUUCAUAUAAACUGAAGGCAAUAACAUGGGUAUAAAGGACAGCAUUCUUCCUGGAAUCCUCAAAGUUUCGAGGGGUAGAAGAAGGAUCAUUCAGAUCUGAUACAGGCUGACUGUGCUUCUUCUCAGAGGGACCAUUUUUAACACCCACAGAAGAGGAAGAUAACAUAUGGUGUAGCUGCUGUUGAACUUGAGCAUUGGAGACAACAGCAGAUUCCUCUCUAGUGCC
rnacentral:misc_RNA from 1 species